UUUGGCUAUAACUUUUCUAUCAACUCAGGAAGAGAACAUUAAGACGAUACACUCAACAGUCAUAUUGCUGGGCUUAAAUAUGGGCUUCAUCACUCACUAGCUGUGUGACCCUGGGCAAGUUACUUAAAUUCCUUGUGUCUCAGUUUCUUAUCCAUAAAAACGUGGAUAAUAACAAUAACUACUUCUGAUAAUUAUUGUAAACAUUAAUUAAUAUAGUCGGUAAAUCUACUUAACGUGGUGACUGACACAAAACAAGAACUCAAUAAAUGCUCAUUGGAAGUAAUAGGAGUAUAAUGGGUACAAAAAAUAGAAUGAAUAAGAUCUACUAUUUGAUAGCACAACAGGGUGACUAUAGUUAAUAAUAGCUUAAUUGUAUAUUUUAAAAUUACUUAAAGAGUGUAACUGCAUUAUUUGUAACUCAAAGGAUAAAUGCUUGAGGGCAUGGAUGCUCCAUUCUCCAUGAUGUGCU
rnacentral:lncRNA from 1 species